AGUACCGUGAGGGAAAGGCGAAAAGAACCCCGGGAGGGGAGUGAAAUAGAUCCUGAAACCGCAUGCUUACAAAAAGUAGGAGCCUGGAAACGGGUGACUGCGUACCUUUUGUAUAAUGGGUUCAGCGACUUACAUUCAGUGGCAAGGUUAACCGAAUAGGGAAGCCGUAGAGAAAUCGAGUCCGAAUAGGGGCGAAAUUAGUCGCUGGGUGUAGACCCGAAACCAAGUGAUCUAUCCAUGGCCAGGAUGAAGGUGCCGUAACAGGUACUGGAGGUCCGAACCGACUAGUGUUGCAAAACUAGCGGAUGAGCUGUGGAUAGGGGUGAAAGGCUAAACAAACUUGGAAAUAGCUGGUUCUCUCCGAAAACUAUUUAGGUAGUGCCUCAAGUAUUACCGUUGGGGGUAGAGCACUGGAUGGGCUAGGGGGUCGCGAGAUCUACCAAACCUAACCAAACUCCGAAUACCCACAAGUACAGCUCGGGAGACAGACGGCGGGUGCUAAGGUCCGUCGUCAAAAGGGAAACAGCCCUAACCUACNGCUAAGGUCCCCAAGUCAUCACUAAGUGGGAAAGCAUGUGGGACUUCCAAAACAACCAGGAGGUUGGCUUAGAAGCAGCCAU
rnacentral:rRNA from 1 species